UCCUACGGGACGCAGCAGUGAGGAAUAUUGGUCAAUGGGCGCAAGCCUGAACCAGCCAAGUCGCGUGAGGGAUGACGGUCCUAUGGAUUGUAAACCUCUUUUGUCGGGGAGCAAGGCCCGCCACGUGUGGCGGGAAGGAGAGUACCCGAAGAAAAAGCAUCGGCUAACUCCGUGCCAGCAGCCGCGGUAAUACGUAGGGGGCAAGCGUUAUCCGGAUUUACUGGGGGUAAAGGGAGCGUAGACGGCAG
rnacentral:rRNA from 1 species